UUGGAAAGUAGGUAUGAAUUUUCGAAAUUUUCUUUAGAAAAUGCAGGAAAAAGGUGAUUUAUAUUAAAAUUUAGUACUUUGUAGGUGUUUCUAUUUUGUUAUUGGUGCCUAUUGUUGUGAACUGUGAAAAUGGAGGUCUUGGAAGACACUAGAGUUGUAGAAGGAUUUAAACACUUAUACGACAUCAAACAUAAAGACUAUAAAGAUGGUCAGAAAAAAGAAAAUAGCUGGAGGGAAAUAGGCACCGCUAUGGACAUAUCAGUUGAAGAAGCCAAACGGAUAUGGAAACUCCUUCGGGAUACAUAUGUUAG